UACGUAGGGGGCAAGCGUUGUCCGGAAUCAUUGGGCGUAAAGAGCGUGUAGGCGGCCCGAUAAGUCCGCUGUGAAAGUCCAGGGCUCAACCCUGGGAUGCCGGUGGAUACUGUCGGGCUCGAGUCCGGAAGAGGCGAGUGGAAUUCCUGGUGUAGCGGUGAAAUGCGCAGAUAUCAGGAGGAACACCAAUGGCGAAGGCAGCUCGCUGGGACGUGACUGACGCUGAGACGCGAAAGCGUGGGGAGCAAACAGG
rnacentral:rRNA from 1 species